rnacentral:tRNA from 1 species
GGCAGGGGCUAAGAGGUGUGUCUCUUAUUUAGGGCUUUGAAGGCCCUUGGUUUAAGGUUUAACCUAAGCUCCUA